rnacentral:lncRNA from 10 species
GCGGCCGCCCGCCCCGCGCAGGGAAAAGCCCGACCGGGCCUUCUGCUCCGCAGAGGCCGGGUGGUUGAACUCCGCGCGGGUUUCCUAACCGCUAAAGGUGCCUUUCGGUGGUGGCUGUCUCAGAAGCACGUUAAAAUGUCCUACCCACCCCAAUCUAGAUGCGGCUGUGGGGGAAUGGGAGCGGCCGGACCUCCCAGCCUGACAGUGCAUCAAGAGCUUUGCGGAGCCUACAGCCCGGAUGGGACGACUGAGGCCCUCCCGCUGGCGAGCUGGCCGAGGGCUCGUCCCUCUCCAGCUAAAGCGCCAGCUUACGAUACAGCCAAACUGCCGGCUCUCAUCGGCUGUGGGAGCAGGAGGCCCCCAGGGGUAAAUCCCGGAGCCUCGUCUCUGAAGCCUGGCGCUUGUGUCUCAGAAGGUGGCCAUCAUCGAAUCCACUGAGGGCGCAAAUAGAACAAAAAGGUGAAGAAAAGGUGAAUUCUCUCCUUUCUUGAGCUGGGACAUCCAACUUCUCAGACAUCAGAGCUCCUGGAGGCCUUCAGACUCCGAGACAUUACACCAUUGGCUCACCUGGUCCUCAGGUCUUUGGACUUGGAAUGAAUUACACCAUUGGCUUUCCAGGUCUUCCAGCUUGCAGAUGGCAGAUUGUGGGACUUUUCAGCCUCCAUAACUUUGUCAUCCAAUUCCCAUAAUAAAUCGCCUCUUAUAUCUGUA